GGGAGCCGCAGAGAGUGAGCUGGCGCUCGGGAGUCGUAGGGGGGGGGCAAAGAGAGUGCUCGGGUCGCCCGGCUGACAGAUGAGUAACAAAAAAGAUACCUGCCUGUAAGACUGGGAUAACUCGCGGAAACGCGAGCUAAUACCGGAUAAUACUUAUGAUCUCCUGAUGAUAAGUUGAAAGGCGGCUUUUGCUGUCACUUACAGAUGGGCCUGCGGCGCAUUAGCUAGUUGGUGAGGUAACGGCUCACCAAGGCGACGAUGCGUAGCCGACCUGAGAGGGUGAUCGGCCACACUGGGACUGAGACACGGCCCAGACUCCUACGGGAGGCAGCAGUAGGGAAUCUUCCGCAAUGGACGAAAGUCUGACGGAGCAACGCCGCGUGAGUGAUGAAGGUUUUCGGAUCGUAAAACUCUGUUGUCGGGGAAGAACAAGUAUGAUAGUAACUGAUCGUACCUUGACGGUACCCGACCAGAAAGCCACGGCUAACUACGUGCCAGCAGCCGCGGUAAUACGUAGGUGGCAAGCGUUGUCCGGAAUUAUUGGGCGUAAAGCGCUCGCAGGCGGUUCUUUAAGUCUGAUGUGAAAUCUUGCGGCUCAACCGUAAACGUGCAUUGGAAACUGGAGGACUUGAGUGCAGAAGAGGAGAGUGGAAUUCCACGUGUAGCGGUGAAAUGCGUAGAGAUGUGGAGGAACACCAGUGGCGAAGGCGACUCUCUGGUCUGUAACUGACGCUGAGGAGCGAAAGCGUGGGGAGCGAACAGGAUUAGAUACCCUGGUAGUCCACGCCGUAAACGAUGAGUGCUAGGUGUUAGGGGGUUUCCGCCCCUUAGUGCUGAAGUUAACGCAUUAAGCACUCCGCCUGGGGAGUACGGCCGCAAGGCUGAAACUCAAAAGAAUUGACGGGGACCCGCACAAGCGGUGGAGCAUGUGGUUUAAUUCGAAGCAACGCGAAGAACCAUACCAAGGUCUUGACAUCCUUUUGAACCCUCUGGGAGACAGAGCUUUUCCCUUCGGGACAAAGUUGACAAGGUGGUGCAAUGAUUGUCGUCAGCUCGUGUCGUGAGAUGGUGGGAUUAGUUCCCGCAACGAGCGCACAUUGAAUCCUAAAUUGCCAGCAUUUAAGUGGGCCACUCCUUAACGGGUGGC
rnacentral:rRNA from 1 species